AACGAACGUUAGCGGCGCGCCUAACACAUGCAAGUCGCACGAGAAAGGGCUUCGGCCCCGUAAGUGGCGCACGGGUGAGUAACACGUGGGUAAUCUGCCCUCGAGCUGGGGAUAACAUUCCGAAAGGAGUGCUAAUACCGAAUAAGACCACGACCUCGAAAGGGGAUGCGGUCAAAGCUGGCCUCUAUACAUAAGCUAGCACUUGAGGAUGAGCCCGCGGCGCAUCAGCUAGUUGGUGAGGUAAUGGCUCACCAAGGCUAAGACGCGUAGCUGGUCUGAGAGGAUGAUCAGCCACACUGGAACUGAGACACGGUCCAGACUCCUACGGGAGGCAGCAGUGGGGAAUCUUUGCGCAAUGGGCGAAAGCCUGACGCAGCGACGCCGCGUGAGUGAUGAAGG
rnacentral:rRNA from 1 species